UAAGAUUCAAAACCGAUCACUAGAUGUCGCCAGUGUCGCUCUUGUUGUUCUCACAUCGUGAAACCCGGCAAAAUGGCCGAAACAAAUUGUAGCUAAUUUAUACUUAUAUUCCUGUGAUUUCGAAAACCAAACUGAACUUCGUAACUUAUGCAGAUGCAUACUGUCAGUCAUCCCAACAAGCGCUCAGUCGCUUUCCAUCAUAUAGACUCAUCAUAACAGCCUAAAAAUAAUGUUUGAAGCCCACAUACAGUGGAAUACAAAUCUGCUGAGAUCAGGUAAUUCCCCAUUACUGCUACCAGACCAUUACAAUUUAGAUUUCUCAUGUAACAUAGGUAUCAUCAACCAUAGGAUCUUUUCUGAAUCUCGCAAUUUUGGUGGUGUAACCUGCAACAGCAUGUUUUUGUUAUGGCUGAUUCUACUUCUGUUUAGAAGGCAACCCAGCUGAGAGAUAGAGUUUCCGUGACAUGAAGAGUGUGACAUGAAUAAUGCCAUGUGUAUGCAUACAUGUUCCAGAUCUGCUUGAUGCCUUACUAAAUUCAUCACCUGUUUGAUAAAGGAAAUCUCGACAUGAGGGGUUAUGCUGUUGGUUGCUGUGAUUUCCAUUUUUAUGGUUUUUUAUCAUGAAAAUUACAGUGUGCUUCUUUGUAAAGGAAAAGGACUAAAGAACAUGUAAGAGGGACUUCCACCAACGUUCUGCUCCAUCCUUACCUUCCCGACGUACGCUCAUCUAGCUUCACCUCUUUUUGCUGCUACACAACUUGUCUUACUUCACUUCACCGACGAGUUGGAACACUUCAGCGAUCGCUUCCGUCCGCUGUUACACACCUGCAGUUACUCACCACGGGAUUAUGCCAAGGUAAUGCAGAAGAGACGUCGAGAAGAUGGACACCAAAACAUCGCCGG